rnacentral:rRNA from 1 species
UACGGAGGGAGCUAGCGUUGUUCGGAAUUACUGGGCGUAAAGCGCGCGUAGGCGGCUUUGUAAGUUAGAGGUGAAAGCCCCGGAGCUCAACUCCGGAACUGCCUUUAAAACUGCAUCGCUUGAAUCCAGGAGAGGUGAGUGGAAUUCCGAGUGUAGAGGUGAAAUUCGUAGAUAUUCGGAAGAACACCAGUGGCGAAGGCGGCUCACUGGACUGGUAUUGACGCUGAGGUGCGAAAGCGUGGGGAGCAAACAGG